UGGAGCAGUUGGCAGCUCGUCGGGCUCAUAACCCGAAGGUCGUAGGUUCAAGUCCUGCCUCCGCAACCA
rnacentral:tRNA from 1 species